AUUGAACGCUGGCGGCAGGCCUAACACAUGCAAGUCGAGCGGAUGAAGGGAGCUUGCUCCUGGAUUCAGCGGCGGACGGGUGAGUAAUGCCUAGGAAUCUGCCUGGUAGUGGGGGAUAACGUCCGGAAACGGGCGCUAAUACCGCAUACGUCCUGAGGGAGAAAGUGGGGGAUCUUCGGACCUCACGCUAUCAGAUGAGCCGAGGUCGGAUUAGCUAGUUGGUGGGGUAAAGGCCUACCAAGGCGACGAUCCGUAACUGGUCUGAGAGGAUGAUCAGUCACACGGGAACUGAGACACGGUCCAGACUCCUACGGGAGGCAGCAGUGGGGAAUAUUGGACAAUGGGCGAAAGCCUGAUCCAGCCAUGCCGCGUGUGUGAAGAAGGUCUUCGGAUUGUAAAGCACUUUAAGUUGGGAGGAAGGGCAGUAAGUUAAUACCUUGCUGUUUUGACGUUACCAACAGAAUAAGCACCGGCUAACUUCGUG
rnacentral:rRNA from 1 species